UCGAAGAAUCUCCCUGUUGUGUCU
rnacentral:siRNA from 1 species